AGCCUUCAUCUGCAUCGCAAGUGAAGAAGGUUCAUCAGAUUUGGGACGACGGCAAUCUCAUGUGAUGGUUGCACUAUGGACACGUUUGUCUCAGAGACCCUGACUGCAUGGCAACUGGAGAACUUGAUCGAGACAUUUAGAGGUGGGAACCAACAUGGUGGAGUACCUACAAACGGCAGAGACUCAACCGUUCCCACACGUUUUGUGUCUUGGUGAUGAAACGACAACGAGCCAGGCCUUCACCAUUGUCUCACAGAGCGCCAUUGAAGCGGACAC